rnacentral:lncRNA from 1 species
AGUCUGGAAUUUUAAAAUGUGUUUUCAGAAUUUUUACAGAUUAAUUUUAGCUUAUUUGGGGAGAAAUAAUAAAAAAUAAAUAAAAAUAAAAAUAAUUCCUUAAUGAAAGAAUUGAAGUAAAGUUACUGUAAUAGAUGUUCAUGCUUUUUUAGUAAAUAUUAAGCUCAUCAUUUUAUACCCUUUGAAGCAGUUAUAACGGAAACAAGAGAAGUGAGAUGUGCAGAUUUCCCACUGAUGAAAGGAACACACAGAAAACCUGCCCUCUGUACUCUCGAUAAGAGCAAUGUAAGAGGUUUGCAGUAACGGGACACGCCACCUCCUGGCUUGAGGUGCUGUGGUGAGACCGCAGUGAGCACAAACUCCUGAUGAAGACAUGGCUGCUGACUGAACCGCUCCAUAAACUUACCCUUUACAAACACUUACCGACGGAUCAGAUACAUGCAGAGGGUCAAAUACAGCUCGUCUGUGGUGAUCUUAGAAUUCUUUUCAAGUGCCAAGCAGGACCAGUGUUCUCAGGACUGCAGUGUUUAUAUGAGAAUAAGUGUUUUACGUCCUGGUAACUAAUAGCAUGUAAUGUGUAAUGUUAUGGUUUACCAGCAUAUGGUUUUAACAGCAUACGUGAGGUUCCUUACUUAGUCAGACAAUCUCUGGUGUUUCCAGGAUCCACUGUCUCCCAGUAUGGGAUACAUCGAUCUUUCCAGUAUGGGACACAACCUGAUGCCAUCAUAUCCGGCUUAUUCUGUGGAUCCUGGGGAUGAGACAGGUCCUUGUGAGCACUUUAACAACAGAGCCAGCCCUCAGCCCAGUGCUGUUGAGCUUGUGUGUGGUCUGAGAUAUCCCUCACUGCACAUGUAUAGAGAGCGUUGCAGAUACCUGGGCUUGGAUGGCACAACUGGAGGGCUUUGUGGGCUGUAGUCUGGCCUUCCUUCCCAGUUGAUAACCAUGCUGCAGUCAUUAGCUGCUUCUGUCCCUCGUCUUCCCUACUGUGACACUUGUUAUCUCCUGAAGCGAGAGUCCAAAUAAGCACCCCUUCCCUUAAGCUGCUUCUGCUGAGCAUAUGGUCACAGAGUUAAGUUAGCUAAUAUAAACCCUAAUUCUCAUUCAUUAGCUUGUUUGAGAUGAGGUCCUGCUAUGUAACCAGUUUGUUCUUGAACUUGUUUCUGCCUCUGCCUCCCAGGUGCCCGAAUUGGGUGCGGCACCCACGGCCUGGUUUCUGCCUUUCUCUGCUAGAAAUCUCAUCCUUUCCUAACCUUCCCAUUAAGUUUAUUUCUGUUUUCACAUUUUUAAUAUCCAAGGCCUUUUUCUUAUUUUUUGACUUUCUUUUUUUAAUACAUAAAAUGCCAGUCACACUUAACUCAGUAAAACAAACCACUAUCGCUGCUAAAAUCAAAGAGGUAUUGAUGGAGAAGACAAAGAGAUCAGGGAGCCUCUGCUGCCACAAACCCACCCUCAUGGUGGCUCUGUAGGAAUGAAUCACGGUCCCCACCGUCAUAACACUGACCUGGCUGUCUCCUCACACUGAGCAGAGGGCCAUGCCUGUCAGCUGCUGCCCCUCAAAAGCACUGCCGAAGUAGGAAAGAGAGAGAUCUUCCCUGCUCCUCUUACUCUCCAGGUCCUUCCCAGAACCUAAGCAGAAGCAGCCACACGGGAGUCUGAGAAUGCCCCUGGCCAAGCUUCUAGCCUCCUUUGUUAGAAGAGUGGGUAGGGACCAAGCCAAAAGAAUCAAGUAGCUCUUGUCGUAUGAGUGCAAUGGCACUUUACGUCUGUGAUUUUCUGUUUUUGUUUUUCUAUGUAGUAACUUUGCUCCAAGUUACUCCCUCGACACCCUUUAGGUGUUGUAGUCUCUUUAAAGAUCUCCUUUCGCAGCUAACUUCAUUUGCUUGAGGAUGGAGACAAAAGCUAAUUAAGAGGUAUGAGCAUGUGGCUGGGACUUGUCGAGUUUGAGCUUUCCUAGAGAAGGCUCAGAUAAACAUUUUAGAGGCCCUCAUGUCCCUUCAGGAUAAAGACAUGCCCAGAGGGGGCCUAAGGCCUAGGUGGGUUUAAGAACUGAUGCCCAUAUGCAAAACCUCUGCACAAACCUCCAACAUGCCCAUGCCUGGCUUUGGCCUCCUUGCAUCCAGAGGCCCCUCUAAUAACUGUAAGGGGGCAUUGAGGAAAGGCAGCUGUGUAGUGAGUGGUAAGAGGAACUUGUAAGGGUUUGAUUGUUUGCUAGUGACCCUGCAGCCAGUCCUGCCCAGCUCCCAGGGCUUCGGUUGCAGAAGGAUUUGAUGACAUCAGUGUGGGGCUGGCGAAGGCUGUUGUGGUUGUGUAGAAUGUGCUGGUUCGGCUUUGCCUCAGACGUCUUCGGAGCGGCUGGAAUCAGUGUCUGCUUGUCCCUCUGCUUUUAACUUUGGAAAGUGUAGCUGCCUUGCCCUCCGUGGUUCUCCUCAUCUCUGUGAGUUUGGGAUGAUUUUCUUAAGUCUGGACAGAAUCUUGGUUUGGCAGUUUUCUUUCUUGACGUGAGAAGGCUAUCUCCAUGGUUUUCUGGGUUCUGUUUUCCCCCCUGUUGAGCUAUCCCCGCAACCCUUCCUCUUAGAAGCAAAUACUAUAUCCUUGAUUUAUCUUUUCUUCAAAGAUGUUUCCUUGUUUCUGGUGUUCUGCAAUGCCAUUAUGAUGUGUCUAAAUGCAGAUUUCUUUUUCUUAGUUUGCUUGACAUACAUUGGGCUUCUUGAAUAUGAAUAUGAAUAUAUCUUUUCAUCAGUUCUCACCCAUUAUUUCUUCAACACUGCCUCUCCCCAGUCUCUCUUCUCCCACCCCAGUUCCAGUCACCUGUUCUUCAGGCUCUUCCCUGUGUCCUCUAUCACUGCUUUCAGAUGACUUCUGCCCCACCUCCUAAUGCAUUGAAGUUGGUUUUUUUUUUUUUCUUUUCAGCUCUUCCUAAUUUACUUUUAAACCUUUCGAUUUUCUUUUCUUUUUUUUCUUUCUUCCUUUAUUUUAUUUUUUCAUGUUUAUUCUGUUUUGAGAUAAGGUCUCAUUAUAUGGUCUGGAAAACAGAGGGAUAUUCCUGUCACUGCCCACUAUGCUGAGAUUAAACAUGUGUAUCUUCU